rnacentral:rRNA from 1 species
AGCCAUGCGAGUCGAGAGGGUUCGGCCCUCGGCUGACGGCUCAGUAACACGUGGAUAAUCUGCCCUUAGGUGGAGGAUAAUCUCGGGAAACUGAGAAUAAUACUCCAUAGGCCUAGGAUGCUGGAAUGCAUCUAGGCUGAAAAUUCCGGUGCCUAAGGAUGAGUCUGCGGACUAUCAGGUUGUAGUCAGGGUAAUGACCUGACUAGCCUACGACGGAUAUGGGUUGUGAGAGCAAUAACCCAGAGAUGAUAUCUGAGACACGAUAUCAGGCCCUACGGGGCGCAGCAGGCGCGAAAACUUCACACUGUGCGAAAGCACGAUGAGGGAAUCCCAAGUGCUUGCACGUAAGUGUAAGCUGUUUUUAUGUUUAAAACGCAUAGAGAGUAAGGGCUGGGUAAGACGGGUGCCAGCCGCCGCGGUAAUACCUGCAGCUCAAGUGGUGGCCGCUAUUAUUGGGCCUAAAACGUCCGUAGCCGGUUUAAUAAAUGCCUGGGUAAAUCGUGUAGCUCAACUAUACGAAUUCCGGGUAGACUGUUAAACUUGGGACCGGGAGAAGUUAGAGGUACUCCUGGGGUAGAGGUGAAAUUCUGUAAUCCUAGGGGGACCACCAGUGGCGAAGGCGUCUGACUAGAACGGGUCUGACGGUGAGGGACGAAGCCCUGGGGCGCAAACCGGAUUAGAUACCCGGGUAGUCCAGGGUGUAAACGCUG